rnacentral:rRNA from 1 species
AUUGAACGCUGGCGGCAGGCCUAACACAUGCAAGUCGAGCGGAUGAAGGGAGCUUGCUCCUGGAUUCAGCGGCGGACGGGUGAGUAAUGCCUAGGAAUCUGCCUGGUAGUGGGGGAUAACGUCCGGAAACGGGCGCUAGUACCGCAUACGUCCUGAGGGAGAAAGUGGGGGAUCUUCGGACCUCACGCUAUCAGAUGAGCCUAGGUCGAAUUAGCUAGUUGGUGGGGUAAAGGCCUACCAAGGCGACGAUCCGUAACUGGUCUGAGAGGAUGAUCAGUCACACUGGAACUGAGACACGGUCCAGACUCCUACGGGAGGCAGCAGUGGGGAAUAUUGGACAAUGGGCGAAAGCCUGAUCCAGCCAUGCCGCGUGUGUGAAGAAGGUCUUCGGAUUGUAAAGCACUUUAAGUUGGGAGGAAGGGCAGUAAGUUAAUACCUUGCUGUUUUGACGUUACCAACAGAAUAAGCACCGGCUAACUUCGUG